rnacentral:rRNA from 1 species
GAUGAACGCUGGCGGCGUGCCUAAUACAUACAAGUCGAGCGAACGGACGAGAAGCUUGCUUCUCUGAUGUUAGCGGCGGACGGGUGAGUAACACGUGGAUAACCUACCUAUAAGACUGGGAUAACUUCGGGAAACCGGAGCUAAUACCGGAUAAUAUUUUGAACCGCAUGGUUCAAAAGUGAAAGACGGUCUUGCUGCCACUUAUAGAUGGAUCCGCGCUGCAUUAGCUAGUUGGUAAGGUAACGGCUUACCAAGGCAACGAUGCAUAGCCGACCUGAGAGGGUGAUCGGCCACACUGGAACUGAGACACGGUCCAGACUCCUACGGGAGGCAGCAGUAGGGAAUCUUCCGCAAUGGGCGAAAGCCUGACGGAGCAACGCCGCGUGAGUGAUGAAGGUCUUCGGAUCGUAAAACUCUGUUAUUAGGGAAGAACAUAUGUGUAAGUAACUGUGCACAUCUUGACGGUACCUAAUCAGAAAGCCACGGCUAACUACGUG